rnacentral:rRNA from 1 species
GACGAACGCUGGCGGCGUGCUUAACACAUGCAAGUCGAACGGAAAGGCCCUGCUCUUGUGGGGUGCUCGAGUGGCGAACGGGUGAGUAACACGUGAGUAACCUGCCCUUGACUUUGGGAUAACUUCAGGAAACUGGGGCUAAUACCGGAUAGGAGCUCCUGCUGCAUGGUGGGGGUUGGAAAGUUUCGGCGGUUGGGGAUGGACUCGCGGCUUAUCAGCUUGUUGGUGGGGUAGUGGCUUACCAAGGCUUUGACGGGUAGCCGGCCUGAGAGGGUGACCGGCCACAUUGGGACUGAGAUACGGCCCAGACUCCUACGGGAGGCAGCAGUGGGGAAUAUUGCACAAUGGGCGGAAGCCUGAGGCAGCAACGCCGCGUGCGGGAUAACGGCCUUCGGGUUGUAAACCGCUUUCGCCUGUGACGAAGCGUGAGUGACGGUAAUGGGUAAAGAAGCACCGGCUAACUACGUG